ensembl:lncRNA
UUGUUUUUCACCCAAAAUGUGAGAUUUGAGGUGUUGUUUCCCGGCAGACGCUGCAGGCCAUGGACACCAUGCUGGAGGAGAUGCUUCUGGGCUCUCCCAGCUCCACCAUCGUUCUCCAGGAUGUCCUGGAGGUUUUGCUGGAGUAUUUCUUCUUCGACACAGCGGCCGUGCAGGAAAGAGUGAUGGGCAGGAUUAAACUGCUGAGCCGUUUUUUAUCCGACUCUUCCAUUGUGCAGGUAAAAGCCUGGACCCUAAAACACCUUCAAACCUCAAAUCCCCACCUUUAAUUUUUAAAUUUUUUUUAAUUUUUCACUCACCUGUUUUCCUGCGGACGGGUGGAAAGGAGGAGAGCGGCGCUGCCGGCGGACAGAUCCCGGCGCUGGGCAAGCUGCUGGGCCAUCUUUUCUUGAAGUUGUUGAGGAAAGAGGAAAGCAGCGGGACGGUGGUGGAGAUCCUCUGCUCCCUCAUGACCUUCCUCUCCCGGCAGAAACGUAAGGAAUUCGGUUAGGGAAUUCCAGAAGGUUCCGUGUGUCCUCCUGACCGCCAUGUUGCCGUCCCUUCUCUUCAGGCACCAAGCUGCCAGAGGUGCACGCGGAGCUCCCGGCGUUCUGGGAAGCCGAGAUCGCUUCCUACCUGGAUAUGCCCAGCAGCUGGACGGUUCAGGCCUUUGGGAGAUACCUCAGGCCUGCUGAGAGGACAGACAUCAUCCUCACCGCCAUCGAGAUCCUGGGACGCUCCAGCCUCCUGGACAAGCGGGUGCCAAUGGAGUUCCUGGAGGUGGCCAUGAAAUCCCCUGAGCUGUGGCUGGUGGAUGUAAGCGGCCUGUGGAAGGAUUGCCCUGCUCCUGAGCCACGUUCCUCCCUCCCUCCCUCCUAUAUCCAGGGGGGUGAAGCCGCCUUGAGGUUUCCCCACACCUCCCUGAGCGAGCACCGCCCUCACCUGCGCUCCCUCCAGGUGCCAAAGGUGGUGAGACACAUCUUCACCUACUGCGACGAGAAAAAUGCCACAACCGCUCGCUGCUUCCACGCCCUGCUCGCCCUCAUGGCCAACCUGUGGCCUGGGCUGGUCGUCACCACAGCUCUGGAGGCUGCGCCGAUACUCAGCGAUAAAGUCUGUCUGUGGGAGGCCAUGUUCUCCGUGCGCCAGUCUCUGGAGAAGGUUCUGAGGGAGCUGCACAUGAAACUCUGGGACCACCAGAAGGAAGUCUUCACUCAGCAGCAGAAGUCCUGCUUCGCUUUCUUGGCUAUGUUGGCGUCUGGAGACGUUCUGGAGAAGAAAGUGGGCUCGUUGUACAAGAGCCUGAAUCUUCUGAGGUCUUCAAGGAUGGAGAUGGUUCCUCUGGUGCUCAGGGCCCUGGUGACGCUGUCAGAGGGAGCUGAGACGGCAAGGAAAAUGAGAGGCCUCCUCCCCGAGCUGCUGAAGUUCCUUUGGCAUUGGUCCUGGGACAUCUCGGUGAUGGCCAUGGACACCUGCCUGAACGUGCUGGGCCAGCUGAGGAGCAGCGAGGCCAGCCCCGUGGUGGCCAAGGUGGUGCAGAACCUCUGGCGGCUCUUCGAUGCGGUAAGGUUGAUGUGGGAACCCGGCAGCCUUGGGAGCUCCUCUGGGCUGUCCUGGCUUCUGGAACACCUGGGGCACCCCAAACAUACCUGGGACACCCCAAACAUACCUGGGGCACCCCAAAACACACCUGGGACACCCCAAAACACACCUGGGACAGCCCAAAACACACCUGGGACACCUCAAAACACACCUGGGGUACCCCAAACACACCUGGGACACCCCAAACACACCUGGGGUACCCCAAAACACACCUGGGACACCCCAAACACACCUGGGACAGCCCAAAACACACCUAGGACACCUCAAAACACACCUGGGACACCUCAAAACACACCUGGGGUACCCCAAACACACCUGGGACAGCCCAAAACACACCUGAGGACACCCCCAAACCCCCCUGGGAGCUCCCCUGGCCUCUCCUGCCCUCCAGACCCCCAGAACAUCACCCCUCAACCCAUCAACCCUCCCCACCCGUGUUUUUAUUCCCUUUUCUCCUUCCUUUUUAUCCUAUUUCCUCCUUCCUUUUUAUCCCCUUUUCUCCUUCCUUUUUAUCCCCUUUUCUCCUUCCUUUUUAUUCCCUUUUUUUUAUUCCCUUUUCUCCUUUUUAUUCCCUUUUCUCCUUCCUUUAAUUCCCUUUUCUCCUUCCUUUUUAUCCCCUUUUCUCCUUCCUUUUUAUUCUUCUUUCUUUCUUUUUUA